rnacentral:rRNA from 1 species
UUUAAAUUUAUUUAUUUAUUUAAAUUAAAUAUAUAUGUAUAUAUAUAUAUUAAAAAUAGUUAUAAAAUUAAAUUUUUUAGUAUUAAUUAAAGAAAAAAUAUUAUUAAUUAUAGUUUAUUAGUAUUGAUAAAGAAAAUUGAAAUAAUUAUGAAAAAUUUUAAUUUAAUAAGAAAAAUUAAUUUUUUGUACCUUGUGUAUCAGGGUUUAUUAACUAAAAUUUAAUUAAGAUAAAUUUCUCGAUUUUAAAAGAUUUAAUAUAUUAUGGAAUAUAAAGUAAUAAAUUUAUUUUUAAUAAUAUAUUUGAAAUGAAAUGUUAUUCGUUUUUAAAGGUAUCUAGUUUAUUAAGAAAUAAAUUUAAUUUAUAAAUUUUAUAUUAUUUAUUUUAUUUUUAAAAUAAAUAAAUAUUUAAUUUAAAUAUUUUAUGGGAUAAGCUAUAAAAUAAAUUUUUAAAAAUAUUAAUGUUAAUUAUGUAAAAUAUAGGGUUAAAAUUAUUCAUUAUUUAAAAAAAUGUAAUAAUUUAUUAUAUAAUAAAAAAAAUUUAUUAAAUUUUAAUUAUUUAUUAAUAUAUAUUUUAAAAUUUAAAAAAAUUAAUAAUAAUGAUAAAAUUAGUAUAAAUUUUUGUAAGAAUAUAUUUAUUUUAUAAUUUUUUUUAAAGAAUUCGGCAAAUUAAUAUAUUCACCUGUUUAACAAAAACAUCUCUUUAUGAUUAAAUAUAAGGUUUAACCUGCCCACUGAAUUUUUAAAUGGCUGCAGUAUAUUGACUGUACAAAGGUAGCAUAAUCAUUAGUUUUUUAAUUGAAAACUGGAAUGAAUGGUUGGAUGAAAUAUAAACUGUUUCAAUUAAAUUAAAUUAAAAUUUUAUUUUUUAGUAAAAAAGCUAAAAUAAUUUUAAAAGACGAGAAGACCCUAUAAAUCUUUAUAUAAAUUAUAAAUAUUAAAUUAUUUAGAAGAUUAUAAAAUAUUUAUUUUUUAUAUUUUAUUGGGGAGAUAAUAAAAUUUAAAAAACUUUUAUUAAAAAAAUUCAUUGAUUUAUGAAUUUUUGAUUAAUUAUUAAUGAAUGAUAAAAUAAGUUACUUUAGGGAUAACAGCGUAAUUAUUUUGGAGAGUUCAUAUUGAUAAAAUAGA